CUGGCUCAGGAUGAACGCUAGCUACAGGCUUAACACAUGCAAGUCGAGGGGCAGCAUUAUCGAAGCUUGCUUGAUAGAUGGCGACCGGCGCACGGGUGAGUAACGCGUAUCCAACCUCCCCAUAGUAGGGAAUAGCCCGGCGAAAGUCGGAUUAAUGCCCUAUGUUGUAUUAUGAGGACAUCUGAGUAAUACCAAAGAUUCAUCGCUAUGGGAUGGGGAUGCGUCUGAUUAGGUAGUAGGCGGGGUAACGGCCCACCUAGCCGACGAUCAGUAGGGGUUCUGAGAGGAAGGUCCCCCCGCAUUGGUACUGAGACACGGACCAAACUCCUACGGGAGGCAGCAGUGAGGAAUAUUGGUCAAUGGGCGAGAGCCUGAACCAGCCAAGUAGCGUGCAGGACGACUGCCCUAUGGGUUGUAAACUGCUUUUAUAGGGGAAUAAAGUGAGGCACGUGUGCCUUUUUGUAUGUACCCUAUGAAUAAGGACCGGCUAAUUCCGUGCCAGCCGCGGC
rnacentral:rRNA from 1 species